rnacentral:rRNA from 1 species
CCCGAGAGGGAAACAACCCGGACCAACAGCUAAGGUCCCCAAAUAUACGCUAAGUUGAAAAAACGAAGUAGAACUGCACAGACAGCCAGGAAGUUGGCUUGGAAGCAGCCAUUCUUUUAAAGAGUGCGUAACAGCUCACUGGUCGAGCGGUUCUGCAUGGAGAAUAAGCGGGCAUAAGCGUAUUACCGAAGCUAUGGCAGAUAAGAAUCUGGGUAGGGGAGCAUUCCGUACAGCGCAGAAUCGGUAUUGUAAAGUACCGUGGAGCGUACGGAAAAGCAAAUGUAGGAAUAAGUAACGAUAAAGCGGGCGAGAAACCCGCUCACCGAAAGACCAAGGGUUCCCCGGCUAUGUUAAUCAGCCGGGGGUCAGUCGGGCCCUAAGGACAAGCCGAAAACAGGCUACUCCGAUGGACAAACGUUUAAUAUUACGUUACUCGUAUCGAGUGCGACGGGGCGACCUGGUAAUACCUCUUCGCGUGCUGACGGAAUAGCACGUUAAAGACUUUACUGGGCCGGGAGGCAAAUCCCCCGGCGGAAAGGUAAAGUUGAUAGUACACCCAAGCUACGGCGACGGUGAUAGCAAGACUAAAGAUCAGCAAGAAAAACCUCUAAGCUUCAGCUCGAUACGACCCGUACCGGAAACCGACACAGGUGGUCGAGAAGAGAAUUCUAAGGUGCUCGAGAGAUUCAUGGCUAAGGAACUAGGCAAAAUAGACCUGUAACUUCGGGAAAAAGGUCACCGCAGCAAUGCGGUCUCAGAAAAUAGGUCCAGGCGACUGUUUAACAAAAACACAGGACUUUGCAAAAUCGAAAGAUGACGUAUAAGGUCUGACACCUGCCCGGUGCUGGAAGGUUAAGAGGAGAUGUCCGCAGCAAUGCAAAGCAUUGAAUUGAAGCCCCAGUAAACGGCGGCCGUAACUAUAACGGUCCUAAGGUAGCGAAAUUCCUUGUCGGGUAAGUUCCGACCUGCACGAAUGGUGUAACGAUCUGGACACUGUCUCAGCCAUGAGCUCGGUGAAAUUGUAGUAUCGGUGAAGAUGCCGAUUACCCGCUGCGGGACGAAAAGACCCCGUGAACCUUCACUACAACUUAAUAUUGUUUUCGGGUAAGUCAUGCGUAGGAUAGGUGGGAGGCUGUGAAGCGGUUACUCCGGUAGUCGUGGAGCCACUGUUGAAAUACCACCCUUGACUUAUUUGGGAACUAACUCCUCGGAAAGCGGAGGACACUAUUUGGUGGGUAGUUUGACUGGGGUGGUCGCCUCCAAAAUAGUAACGGAGGCUUCCAAAGCUGCCCUCAGCACGCUUGGUCAUCGUGCGUAGAGUGCAUUAGCAAAAGGGCGGUUGACUGCAAGACCUACAAGUCGAGCAGGUGCGAAAGCAGGGUAAAGUGAUCCGGUGGUUCCGCGUGGAAGGGCCAUCGCUCAAAGGAUAAAAGGUACUCCGGGGAUAACAGGCUGAUCUCCCCCAAGAGCUCACAUCGACGGGGGGGUUUGGCACCUCGAUGUCGGCUCGUCACAUCCCGGGGCUGGAGAAGGUCCCAAGGGUU